UUGGUCAUUUAGAGGAAGUAAAAGUCGUAACAAGGUUUCCGUAGGUGAACCUGCGGAAGGAUCAUUAUUGAAAUAAACCUGAUGGGUUGUUGCUGGUUCUCUAGGGAGCAUGUGCACACCUUGUCAUCUUUAUAUCUCCACCUGUGCACCUUUUGUAGACCUUUCAGGUCUAUGUUGCUUCAUUUACCCCAAUGUAUGUUAAUAGAAUGUUGUGCCUAUAUAAUAUAUACAACUUUCAGCAACGGAUCUCUUGGCUCUCGCAUCGAUGAAGAACGCAGCGAAAUGCGAUAAGUAAUGUGAAUUGCAGAAUUCAGUGAAUCAUCGAAUCUUUGAACGCACCUUGCGCUCCUUGGUAUUCCGAGGAGCAUGCCUGUUUGAGUGUCAUUAAUAUAUCAACCUUCUCUUUUUGAGUGGUUUGGAUGUGGGGGUUUGCUGGCCUCUUAAAAGGUCUUGGCUCUCCUGAAAUACAUUAGCAGAACAACCCUGUUCAUUGGUGUGAUAACUAUCUACGCUAUUGAAUGUGAAGGGCAGUUUGGCUUUCUAACAGUCCUUGGACAAGCUCAUCAUUAAUGUGACCUCAAAUCAGGUAGGACUACCCGCUGAACUUAAGCAUAUCAAUA
rnacentral:rRNA from 1 species